AUAACACCCUGAAGCUCCAACUUUGUGGUGGGCCAAUUAAACUCCAUGAAACAUGGUCAGUACCCUCCUCAUUAUGACAAGCUCACCUUGAUGCUAGUUUCUGUCUGCAACUCCUGGAUUCAAUCACCUCAAAAAAGGGAGAGAUUAAACAGAACAUCUAUAAUCUUCUAAAGACCUAAAAGACUGCAUUAUGUCUGGAAACUGUAGUAUUUAUCUACUAUUCCCAGGAGACUAUUGUAAUCAUGGAAUUGAACUGGAUGUCAGUUGGAAUGUUCAAAAAAAUCCAGGAAAAGACAAAAGGGCCCAUCCUGAAGGCAGAAGACUUGUGGCGAUUUUUAGAAGAAUGGCUUUGUUUUCUAGCAUCCUACAAGUUGAACCACUUCAGAUUGAAUCCAGAGUUUUGAUGACAUGACCUAAAUGCUUCCACCCUUUCUGGCUUGUGUCCACGAGUGAGAGAAGUUUUCUUCCACAGUUUCAUGUCAGACUGCCCAUUUCACUCUGCAGCCUCUAUAAGCCUGCCCCCUGCAUUGCAUAGAAAUGGCCUAAAAUUCUAAACUGACAGAACCUUUAAAUGGCCAGGAGAAUUUAUGUGCUCAAGUAUGGCAUGCUCUAUAGGUUCUCCUCUUUGAGCCACUCAUCUGGAAAUACAACAAACCUGAUGUUAUCAUUGGGUUUCACUGGACAGUUAUGAGAAUUCAUUCUCUUGCACUGGAUAGUAAUUACUGGCCAAUGUCCUGACCACCCAGCUGCGUUCCAGUGAUGGUACCUAGCUUUUGCAUUCCCAUCUUCUGCUGAGGGAAAACUGAACAGUUUAAAAACAAAAAUUUCAAACUGCAUCUCUCAGAUUCCACUUCUACUGGAUUGUGCUGCUUCAGAGAAUUAAGCAUCAUUAGCAGAGGGGGUGCCAGGAGUAUGGAAUGAAGAGGACAAUAUGUGGCCUCUUCCCAAAUCUGUCCCCUUUUUCUGGUAUCUGAGCAGUAUGGAGAGAGAAAUAUGGAUAGGAGCAAGAAAGUCAAGUUUUCACAAGGAACACUGAGGUCAUAGUCAUCCCUGCUUGGGAACCACCAUAAAGGCAAAAUACGAGUGAGGAGGGUUUUCUCAUUUCCCUUUAGAGGACCUGAGAUGGCUUCUUUCGGGUGCAGCAGCUGGGGGAGCCCACUGGACGUGGUAAUCUAUCCAGACGCCUAGAGGAAGAUGGCCAAUGCUAGUCAGACACAACAAAGUCCAGUGUACAAGUGUCAGAGAAGCAGCAGCUUCCUGGGGGAAGCUGACUUUUUGUAUAUACCCAAGAGCCUACUGAAGAACAUCAGGCUUUGUGGAGGACUGCAUGAGUGAUUUGGGAGGAUGUUAUCAAGAGCCAGAUUCUUAUUACUAUUGCAUCUCUCCAUUUGUACCUGUAAGCUAGUGAAGACUGGGAAAAACAGCAUUCCCCAGAUUUAUUCUUAGUUCCAAAAGUUAGGAGAAAUGUUCAACUUUGAAUUUUAAUCACCACCCAUUUAUAACUUUUUUAAACAAUUUUGUUCAAAUAUUAUUGUUUUUCAGAGCCACUAGCUUCUAUUUUAAAAUUAACCUUUAAUUUUAGAAUACAUGUCAAUUUUUUUUAAUGAUUGAAGGUUUAUUUGUGUAUAAGUGUUUGGGAAAACCCGUUUCUCUCCAUGGAUUCAGUCUGCUUCAUUUCGUUUCCCAGUGCUGGGGCUGGUUUGCAGACUUGUAUUUUUCUUUGUGUAAGAACCAAUUUUUAUAAUAAAUUCCCACUCUAGAAUACUCCUUUGGUUCUGUUUCUGUAACUAAACACUGACUGUUGGAAGUAGUUCAAUUAAAGCCACUCCAUUGCAGUUCCUCCAAAUGCUGCCUUUCUGAAUGGGAGGGAGACGAUAGCUGGAGGUGUUGACUGUCUCUGUGGGUACAAUGGGGAAGAGUCAGAAAAUGGGGAUAUGGCUAUAUUUUUGCUAGUCCUCUAAAUCUAGAGCUAGGUGAUCGAUUUUGUUUCUGCAAGAGCACUUACAACCUUCAGCUGUGGCUAAGAAUUUGGAAGCCACCAAAGGAGACGAUGUUCUCAAGAACAGAAGUUUCCACUGAACUUACAAAGAAUAAGCUAACAGAAUAAAU